UAAAUCUUUAUUAAAGCACUGGAUAAAUAUUAUGUUAUUAUUCAUUAUUUGGAUUUAACUAGGUGGCUCAGUGGAUAGAGAGCCAGCCAUGGAGAAGGGAAGUCCUGGCUUCUGGUCUCAAACACUUCCUGGUGGUGUGACCCUGGACAAGUCACUUGACUCCCAUUGCCUAGUCCUUACUCACCUUCUGCCUUGGAACUAAUAUGCAGUAUUGAUUCUUAGAUGGAAGUUCUUGGCUGUCUGUAGGAACAAUCUCAAAAUCUUCACUUUCCUUUGUGCUACCCAAAACAGCCUCGGAACCAGUGUGUACAUUCUUUGUAGGAAGCAUUUUGUUUUUGAAAUUUCAACUGGUUCUAAUCAAGGUCUCCAUUUGGGGCUUACUCCUCUGUGUAGCCAUGAGGUCUUCUUUUACCACUUUUAAAGAGUCAAGACAUCAUCCAGGACUUUAA
rnacentral:lncRNA from 1 species